CACCUAAACUCUAAAUUUUAGAGCACGGUAUAAAUAAAUCCAUCCCUGGCAGUAAGAUCCUCAUUGGAACACCAGGAAUGGUCAUACCUCGAAAGAGGUAUGGGUGAUCGAAAGAUCAUC
rnacentral:sRNA from 1 species